rnacentral:lncRNA from 1 species
CUUACAAUAACAAUAAAUAACAAAAAUUUAAAGAGCAUAAAAAUAAAUGGGUACUAAAAUCUACUAACUAAAUCCUAGAAUCUACUUGUAAUAAAAAUAAAAGACAAAAAUUUAAAAGUAUAAUAAAAUAAAUUUUGUAUUAAUUAGAAUUAAAAUUUAAUUAUAAAAAAUUUAAAAGAAUAAUAAACUAAAAUAAAACUGCAACAAAGACUCUGAAGUCGAUUGUGCAGUCUCGUUAGAAAGAUGGUUGACGACCUCUCCUUCUUCUUUCGUAUUCUAUGGAGCGAAUCGGUUUCUCUUUUUCUUUUUCUUUGGAUCUGAUCUUUGAGAUAGUGUAGGCAUGGAGAUGGCACAGGAACAAAACUCUCUUCUAAGCACCUUUUUCUUUGAAACUUUCUCCGCAACCCAAAGCUAUGCUUGCUACCCCCUCUCUAUGCCUCUCCCACUCUUGGACACUUUUUCUUCCACUCUUGGAUGCUUUUUUUUUUGUAUGUCUGAAUUCUUUUUUAUAGCCUUCAAAGAUCUCCAUAGUCUUAAUUGUGUUCAAUCUCCGAUUCUCUCAUGGAUUCCUUAUUUUUUUAGGAUUUAAAACCUUACGGUCUCAGUCCUUGCUUGUUUAAACCGUGCCAUGCAUGAAAACCCACAUCCACCUGCUUGUUGUUAAGGCCUGGGCCAUUCAAAUCUUGUGCGCCAAAUCCCACGCACCCAAGCUUCUCCUCUCAGCCUCCAAAAAUUCAAACAUAAAAAGCCUGUGAGUCCCUCCUCAUUACAACCCCUCUCUC